rnacentral:rRNA from 1 species
UGCCCGUACCCCAAACCGACACAGGUGGUCAGGUAGAGAAUACUAAGGAGCUCGAGAUAAUUAUGGUGAAGGAACUCGGCAAAAUGCCCCCGUAACUUCGGGAGAAGGGGGGCCAUCCACUUAUUAGGCUUUACGCCGAAAGGGUGUGGUGGCCGCAGAGACCAGUGGGGAACGACUGUUUUACUAAAAACACAGGUCCGUGCUAACACGCAAGUGGACGUAUACGGACUGACGCCUGCCCGGUGCUGGAAGGUUAAGAGGAGCGGUUAGUGUCUUCGGACGCGAAGCUGUGAAUUUAAGCCCCAGUAAACGGCGGUGGUAACAAUAACCAUCCUAAGGUAGCGAAAUUCCUUGUCGGGUAAGUUCCGACCUGCACGAAUGGCGUAACGAUUCCCCAGCUGUCUCCACCGUAAACUCGGCGAAAUUGCAGUACGGGUAAAGAUGCUCGUUACGCGCAGAAGGACGGAAAGACCCCGUGACCUUUACUACAGCUUGGUAUUGGUGUUCGGUGUGGCUUGUGUAGGAUAGGUGGGAGACUGUGAAGCUGGCACGCUAGUGUUGGUGGAGUCAUUGUUGAAAUACCACUCUGGUCAUAUUGGAUAUCUAACGACGAACCCUGAUCGGGUUUUCGGACAGUGCCUGGUGGGUAGUUUAACUGGGGCGGUUGCCUCCUAAAAAGUAACGGAGGCGCCCAAAGGUUCCCUCAACCUGGUUGGCAAUCAGGUGGCGAGUGUAAGUGCACAAGGGAGCUUGACUGUGAGACUGACAGGUCGAGCAGGGACGAAAGUCGGGACUAGUGAUCCGGCAGUGGCUUGUGGAAGCGCUGUCGCUCAACGGAUAAAAGGUACCUCGGGGAUAACAGGCUGAUCUUGCCCAAGAGUCCAUAUCGACGGCAUGGUUUGGCACCUCGAUGUCGGCUCGUCGCAUCCUGGGGCUGGAGUCGGUCCCAAGGGUUGGGCUGUUCGCCCAUUAAAGCGGUACGCGAGCUGGGUUUAGAACGUCGUGAGACAGUUCGGUCCCUAUCCUCUGCGCGCGUUGGAAAUUUGAGAGGAUCUGACCCUAGUACGAGAGGACCGGGUUGGACGAACCUCUGGUGUGCCAGUUGUUCUGCCAAGGGCAUGGCUGGUUGGCUACGUUCGGGAUGGAUAACCGCUGAAAGCAUCUAAGCGGGAAGCCGGCCUCAAGAUGAGAUUUCCGUAGGGUUUUACCCUGUGAGGCUCCCAGUAGAUGACUGGGUUGAUAGGCCAGAUGUGGAAGCGCGGUAACGUGUGGAGCUGACUGGUACUAAUAAGCCGAUGAC